GAUGAACGCUGGCGGCGUGCCUAAUACAUGCAAGUCGAGCGAACAGACGAGGAGCUUGCUCCUCUGACGUUAGCGGCGGACGGGUGAGUAACACGUGGAUAACCUACCUAUAAGACUGGGAUAACUUCGGGAAACCGGAGCUAAUACCGGAUAAUAUAUUGAACCGCAUGGUUCAAUAGUGAAAGACGGUUUUGCUGUCACUUAUAGAUGGAUCCGCGCCGCAUUAGCUAGUUGGUAAGGUAACGGCUUACCAAGGCAACGAUGCGUAGCCGACCUGAGAGGGGGAUCGGCCACACUGGAACUGAGACACGGUCCAGACUCCUACGGGAGGCAGCAGUAGGGAAUCUUCCGCAAUGGGCGAAAGCCUGACGGAGCAACGCCGCGUGAGUGAUGAAGGUCUUCGGAUCGUAAAACUCUGUUAUUAGGGAAGAACAAAUGUGUAAGUAACUAUGCACGUCUGGACGGUACCUAAGCAGAAAGCCACGGCUAACUACGU
rnacentral:rRNA from 1 species